GUGUCAGCAGCCGCGGUAAUACAGAGGGUGCAAACGUUGUUCGGAAUUACUGGGCAUAAAGCGCACGUAGGCGGCCUGAGAAGUGCGGGGUGAAAUCCCACGGCUUACCCGUGGAACUGCUUUGCAUACUGCCAGGCUGGAGGACGGUAGAGGAGAGCGGAACUCUUGGUGGAGCGGUGAAAUGCGUAGAUAUCAAGAGGAACACCGAAGGCGAAGGCAGCUCUCUGGUCCGUUUCUGACGCUGAGGUGCGAAAGCCAGGGUAGCGAACGGGAUUAGAAACCCGAGUAGUCC
rnacentral:rRNA from 1 species